GAUGAACGCUGGCUACAGGCUUAACACAUGCAAGUCGUGGGGAAACGGCAUUAUGUGCUUGCACAUUCUGGACGUCGACCGGCGCACGGGUGAGUAUCGCGUAUCCAACCUGCCCCUUACUUGGGGAUACCCCGUUGAAAGACGGCCUAAUACCCGAUGUGUUUCAUUGACGGCAUCCGAUAUGAAACAAAGGUUUUUCCGGUAAGGGAUGGGGAUGCGUCUGAUUAGCUAGUUGGCGGGGCAACGGCCCACCAAGGCGACGAUCAGUAGGGGUUCUGAGAGGAAGGUCCCCCACAUUGGAACUGAGACACGGUCCAAACUCCUACGGGAGGCAGCAGUGAGGAAUAUUGGUCAAUGGACGUAAGUCUGAACCAGCCAAGUAGCGUGCAGGAUGACGGCCCUAUGGGUUGUAAACUGCUUUUAUGUGGGAAUAAAGUGGCGCACGUGUGCGCCAUUGCAUGUACCUCAUGAAUAAGGACCGGCUAAUUCCGUGCCAGCGGCCGCGGUAAUACGGAAGGUCCGGGCGUUAUCCGGAUUUAUUGGGUUUAAAGGGAGUGUAGGCGGUCUGUUAAGCGUGUUGUGAAAUUUAGGUGCUCAACAUUUAACUUGCAGCGCGAACUGUCAGACUUGAGUACACGCAGCGCAGGCGGAAUUCAUGGUGUAGCGGUGAAAUGCUUAGAUAUCAUGAGGAACUCCGAUCGCGAAGGCAGCCUGCGGGAGUGUUACUGACGCUUAAGCUCGAAGGUGCGGGUAUCGAACAGG
rnacentral:rRNA from 1 species